rnacentral:rRNA from 1 species
CUUUUGCUGGCGACCGGCGCACGGGUGAGUAACACGUAUCCAACCUGCCCUUUACUCGGGGAUAGCCUUUCGAAAGAAAGAUUAAUACCCGAUAGCAUAAUGAUUCCGCAUGGUUUCAUUAUUAAAGGAUUCCGGUAAAGGAUGGGGAUGCGUUCCAUUAGGUUGUUGGUGAGGUAACGGCUCACCAAGCCCUCGAUGGAUAGGGGUUCUGAGAGGAAGGUCCCCCACAUUGGAACUGAGACACGGUCCAA